rnacentral:rRNA from 1 species
GACCCAGCAACGCCGCGUGAAGGAUGAAGUAUUCGGUAUGUAAACUUCGAAAGAAUAGGAAGAAUUAAUGUCGGUACUAUUUAUAAGGUCCGGCUAACUACGUGCCAGCAGCCGCGGUAAUACGUAGGGACCAAGCGUUGUUCGGAUUUACUGGGCGUAAAGGGCGCGUAGGCGGCGCGGUAAGUCACUUGUGAAAUCUCUGAGCUUAACUCAGAACGGCCAAGUGAUACUGCAGUGCUAGAGUGUGGAAGGGGCAAUCGGAAUUCUUGGUGUAGCGGUGAAAUGCGUAGAUAUCAAGAGGAACACCUGAGGUGAAGACGGGUUGCUGGGCCAACACUGACGCUGAGGCGCGAAAGCCAGGGGAGCAAACGGGAUUAGAUACCCCGGUAGUCCUGGCCCUAAACGAUGAAUACUUGGUGUCUGGAGUUUUAAUGCUCCGGGUGCCGUCGCUAACGUUUUUAGUAUUCCGCCUGGGGAGUACGCUCGCAAGAGUG